rnacentral:lncRNA from 7 species
AAAGAGCCAAGGAAUUAGAAGGCCUGCUACAUACUAGCUAGGGCGCUACGACGAGAGGUCACCGUCAGGAGUGCCCCGGUGGCACACUCAACGUGGCAACAAGCCAGCAGCAGAGAGAGACGACCACGACAUCGUCCCCUGGAUGCAUCAAUGCAUAUACGAUGAGCCACCAAAAAGAAAAAAAAAGAUUCCUGGCCCCUGCUGGCGGUUUUAUUUAUUUAUUUAUUUACACCCGAUCGAAGGAGAUAGGACAAGCUAGCGGGGUCCUUGAAAUCCAUACGGACAUGGACGACGACGACUCCACUCUCCAUCGCAUGCACGCUGGCUAAGCUUGCUUGUUCGGGGAUGCACGGACAAAACAACACGGGGAGGAAAAAAAAACACAUGAGACGGGCGCUGUAUAUGCAUGAUGCAGGUAGCUAGAUGUUCCAUGCAUUCCAAGCAUUUAUGCAUGUGUUUAUGGUGAUCGAUUGAGUCUAAGUUUGUAAGUUUUUUUAAAAAAGUCUCGUUAAUAAAUAUGACUAGCGAGUACGGCUCCUGCAAU